UGCAGUCGAGCGGAACGAGUUGUCUGAACCUUCGGGGAACGAUAACGGCGUCGAGCGGCGGACGGGUGAGUAAUGCCUGGGAAAUUGCCCUGAUGUGGGGGAUAACCAUUGGAAACGAUGGCUAAUACCGCAUAAUAGCUUCGGCUCAAAGAGGGGGACCUUCGGGCCUCUCGCGUCAGGAUAUGCCCAGGUGGGAUUAGCUAGUUGGUGAGGUAAGGGCUCACCAAGGCGACGAUCCCUAGCUGGUCUGAGAGGAUGAUCAGCCACACUGGAACUGAGACACGGUCCAGACUCCUACGGGAGGCAGCAGUGGGGAAUAUUGCACAAUGGGCGCAAGCCUGAUGCAGCCAUGCCGCGUGUAUGAAGAAGGCCUUCGGGUUGUAAAGUACUUUCAGCAGUGAGGAAGGUGGUGUACUUAAUACGUGCAUCAUUUGACGUUAGCUGCAGAAGAAGCACCGGCUAACUCCGUGCCAGCAGCCGCGGUAAUACGGAGGGUGCGAGCGUUAAUCGGAAUUACUGGGCGUAAAGCGCAUGCAGGUGGUUUGUUAAGUCAGAUGUGAAAGCCCGGGGCUCAACCUCGGAAUUGCAUUUGAAACUGGCAGACUAGAGUACUGUAGAGGGGGGUAGAAUUUCAGGUGUAGCGGUGAAAUGCGUAGAGAUCUGAAGGAAUACCGGUGGCGAAAGCGGCCCCCUGGACAGAUACUGACACUCAGAUGCGAAAGCGUGGGGAGCAAACAGGAUUAGAUACCC
rnacentral:rRNA from 1 species